rnacentral:lncRNA from 1 species
UUUUUUUUUUUGGUCAGUUUUCCUGAAAUCGUGGCUUGCUGGUGACUAUUACUUUCUUAGUAUUUAGAAAGAAAAAAAAAUAGAGAUGUUACCUCUCAAAUUACAAUAAAUUCCCUGGGUUAGUUAUUACUGCAGACUGUCUCUUAUCUACAGACGGAAUCAAGUAUAACUCUAAGAAGCUUAUUUCCUACACUCAAACAUACUUUAAGCUUUCUAAUCCUAACUGAGUCUCCCAUUUGUUGUGCAUAAUUUGUAGAUUAAUUUAAAAAUUAAAUAACUCAAAACACUGACUUAAGAUUUUCUUACAAAAUCUUGGAAAUCUAUGGAAGGUAAAUGUAUAUACUUUUAUAUUUGAAAAUAAUUACAAGAUUAGUUCAUUUUGUAUACAACAGGAAAAAUGACAGUAAAAAUGAAGUUAAUAUACAAAUACAUUUGUGUUAUAUAACACAAAAUAACACAGCGAAUUAAAUAACUGCAGCUAAUAUGACCUUCCACAGAGAUAGGGAACCAAUCAGUAUAUUAAUCUACAUAAUGUUUUUCAACUUCUUCAAAUCCAUAAUUGUUGAUUUUAUUGAUGACAUUCACAAAACUGUACCUUUAAAAUAGGACCUAACACUUCCUGUGACAUAUCAUGGAACUAUGGGUUUAUUGGAUGAUAACACAAAUUAAGCAAUUUAUAAGCUGCUGAAUGUUCAGAGAGCUGACAUUAACUAAACAGAAAUAUGUUAUUCAUUGGUACUUUCUAUAAAUUCAAAAACUUUUGAAUAGGGCUUAUUUAAAAAAUAUUUCUUUUGGCUUGAUCAAUUAUCUGUAUCACACACAUUUAGUCCCUACCAAAUGAUAUUUAAAGUAAACUUUGAUGUAAACUUUUGUAUCUAGUAGUGCAUGUUAUAAAAUGUAAACAUAAAAGCUUUAUUAAUGAAGAGUAGAGGAAAAUAUGCGUAACAGACUGUAUGAAAAAGAUGUCUGACAUAUUCCUUUAAUGAUCAUAUGGAGUAGAAAAACAACCAUCUUGUUUACUAUCAAUUUGUGUUCUGAUUAUCUCUUAAUGAAAAAACAAAAUAAUUUAAAGGAAUUUUUUAUAGAAGACAAUAUUUAAAUUUCAUUAACAUUAAUUUUAAUGCUUCCAUUUCGCUUCUGCUGGGUUGCUUUAACAACAAUCAAUAAUCAUCUUAGAUUAGUCUGUAUUCUGAGAUUGCUUACUUCUAGAUCUACUAGGUGGUUUCUUUCCUGUCCAUAAUGCUAGUCUAUGAAACAAUCAUUCAUUGUCCAUUGCUGGUCUCGAAUUGUAUUAUAUUCCAAUACAGAAAUAAUUUAGUUAUCACAGUGUACAUAUUUUCCUUUCUUUUUGGCUUUUUGAAACCUUGAAAGGAUAUGUACAGAUUUAUAGAAUAUUUAUACAGAAAAUAUUUUGUAGGUCAUCAGACUAAACUCUUAUAUAGAUAAUUAUUGACAACAGAUGCUUGUAAUUUUCCAUGCGAUAGCAUGUGC